GCUAGUUUACACCCGGUGCCACGAGUUUUACCAUGCCCUGACGGAAGAUGAUGUUCCAGAUGAAGCAGAGAACAUGAAGCCAAAAGAUUUGACAGUGGAACUUUUCAGAUUGUCUGAUGCCUCGGGAAAUCUGACAUUUAAAGUAGAGAAGAGUGGGUCAGUAUCCACGUCUGAUCUGGACAGCAAGGUGAGUCUAAGUAGAGAAGAGUGGGUCAGUAUCCACGUCUGAUUUGGACAGCAAGGUGAGUCUAUGUAGAGAAGAGUGGGCCAGUAUCCACGUCUGAUUUGGACAGCAAAGUGAGUCUAUGUAGAGAAGAGUGGGUCAGUAUCCA